UGACCAACAUCACGCCUGGCGUGGUCUUGGGGCUGGCAACUCUGCCGCCCUCAAACGCAGUGGCAGCGCCGCAUGGCUCUUAGCGUAGUAAUACUCCUCGCUAUAGGGUCCUACGGUUGCCCGCCAGUAACCCCCCAAUCUUUACA
rnacentral:misc_RNA from 1 species